rnacentral:tRNA from 1 species
AAGACGUUAGUAAAUAUAUUACAUAGUUUUGUCAAAACUAAAUAAUAGGUUUAAACCCUUUACGACUUA